GACAGAGGGUGCAAACGUUGUCCGGAAUCACUGGGCGUAAAGCGUGCGCAGGCGGCUUCUCAAGUCAGGGGUGAAAGCCCAGAGCUCAACUCUGGAAUUGCCUUUGAGACUGAGUGGCUUGAGUACGGGAGAGGUGAGUGGAAUUCCCAGUGUAGAGGUGAAAUUCGUAGAUAUUGGGAAGAACACCGGUGGCGAAGGCGGCUCACUGGCCCGUAACUGACGCUCAUGCACGACAGCGUGGGGAUCAAACAGG
rnacentral:rRNA from 1 species